rnacentral:pre_miRNA from 10 species
GACUCUGUUGCUUGCCACGGUGAACAUUCAACGCUGUCGGUGAGUUUUGGUAUGGAUCACAUAGAAACCAUCGACCGUUGACUGUGCCCCGUGGCACGGCCCGUCUCGACGCCA